rnacentral:rRNA from 1 species
GGACUACCGGGGUAUCUAAUCCUGUUUGAUCCCCUUGCUUUCGCGCCUCAGCGUCAGGUAUAAGCUAGAAAGUCGCCUUCGCCACUGGUAUUCUUCCACAUAUCUACGCAUUUCACCGCUACUUGUGGAAUUCUACUUUCUCCGCCUACCCUCUAGGUUUGCAGUUUCAAAUGCCGUUCUGGAGUUGAGCUCCAAGAUUUCACAUCUGACUUACAAACCCGCCUACGCGCCCUUUACGCCCAAUAAAUCCGAUUAAUGCUUGCACCCUCCGUAUUACCGCGGCUGCUGGCAC